UGCCCCUAUGUUACCAUUCGAGUUUUUUGUCUUGCGAUCUCCCUGCCUACAAAUCUACUACCUAGGUAACCCCCUGGUGGACUGCCAGUCACUAAAUCUGACAAGGUGCUUAAUUAAAACUUGACUAACUAAAUUUGGGCUUGCAGUCCACCAAAUAAAGCCUUCCGUGCUCAAGACCUACAUGUCAUAUAAUUUCCUACACUUGCAAAGUACACACCUACAGGUGUACUCACCGUUUUCACUUUCAACCCUUGUUGUUCUCUCCCC
rnacentral:lncRNA from 1 species